AUGACAUUCGUACACCCGAACCGUCAAUCUGAACGGUUCAAACUUUGGCCGUUUAUGCUCCACCCAAGGUAUGUCGUUGCAAUUCUGUGCGGGAGUGUGGAGAUGGUGCAUGCACCAUAUGUAGACCAUACAUGGGUGGCGCCCACCAGCAAUACAAGUUCGCAAAAUUAUAAUAUGAUGCAAGGAGGGAUCGUGAAAGUGUCUCAACUUGCCCAGGCUCCACAAAAAUUCUGGCUCCGCCACAGGCGCGAGCGCCUCCCGGCGGCGCAGUCUUGUUCUAGGGUCUCGAGCGAGAGCGAGAUGGGGGAAAAACGACGGGUGCUGCUCGUCUCCUGGAAGGAAAGGAAGGAGAAAGCCAACCCAUUAGACGUCAACGAAAUGAGUCAAGACAUGCUAUACUCAUUGAAGGUUAAUGGUCAGCAUGAAUCGUUGAAGGGACAGAUAACAAUGAUCUGCAUCGAGUUACUUGUAUCAUUGGUUGCUGGUAUCCUACUACUCCUCGCCUGCUUUGGGUCCCGCCGUCGCCGAAGCAGAAAUUGGUUCCUCCAGAAAGGUGUCCUAGGUGCCUACACCGUGUCCUUCUCGUUGGCAACGUACACACUUGGUUCCAUGCAAUCUUCUGAGGUGAAGAGCAGGAUGUACCCUGUUUGGGCCUUAUCUCUGUUUAUGCUUCAUGCUUGUACCGACUCUAUGACAGCUUAUAGUCUCGAUGACAACAUACAAGUAACAAGACUCAAUUACCAGGCUUUUAUGUACCAUACAUACGUGGUGUUACUUUUCACCACCGUGCAGACGAAGAGCAACUACAUCCUAGCACUUGCUUAUAUAUCUUUCAUUGCUGUCACAAGAUAUUUACGGAGACUUGCAGUGUGUCAUCUCGCAGCCUACUCAUGGAACUUGAACAAAACUGUUGCUGAUUACAUGUAUGGUCAGCAAAACGGGAGGGUAUUUGAUCCAGCCACCAUGGAAGGCUGCAAUUACCUAGUUGACUGGCCCAUUAGCGAAUCCAAGUUUGAUGCUUCAACAUCAUAUGGAACACAAUUAACAGUGGGGGAUCAUGAUGAAGUCAUUACCAUUGAGAAGAUAUGGGUCAAGUCACUAGGCCCAGAGCUAAAAGAUGCAUGCCUUUCCUUCUCUCUUUUCCAUCUGCUAAGAAGGCGCUUCUUUGGGUUUGCCUGCGACGAGUCCAAAGGCAGGACACAUGAGUUUAUCUUCAAAGGGCUUCUAACUGAUGGUGCCACAGACUACAACAGGGUGUUCAAGUCUAUCAGAGAACAAGCAAGAUUCAGUAGAACGAACUCGCAGACAAAGAAAACAAGGACAAGGGGAAGCUGGGUCAUGGGAUUAAAGGGAUUGCUUGCCAAUAUUGUUUGGAGAGUUUGUUAUCUUUCCAACUUCAUGCUCAACCAUCGCCAAAAUGAGCAGGCAUUCAGGGCCCGAAAGAGAACUUGGAAAUCUGUGGAGUUGCCUGAUGAAGUAAAGAAGGCGGUUAUCUGCUCCCUAAAACGUACCAGUGGUACACUAAGCAAUGGGAAAUCCUCCUUACGAUUCAAUGGAGCACAUGACCUCUUAUGGGCUUGCAAGUGGGAAUUGCACCCGGAUCCAAGCUGGUCCCAGAGAAAACAGAAUCAGACACACAUUAUUUUGACUUGGCACAUUGCAACAUGGUACUGUGAGAUGGCAACACUUUCUGAAGAUAGGGCAACAAAACCUGAUGUAUGUACUGUUAGCAUUGCCACAAAACUGUCAAAAUAUUGUGCGUACUUGGUGGUCUCUGUACCAAAGCUUCUUCCUGGGCAUCACUAUGAUACGAGAAGCAAAUUUGAUGCAGCCAUAGUAGAAGCCAUUAAACUCCCGCCAGAGUCAACGAGCAUGUACGAGGCCAUGAAGAGAUUAAAGUUACCACAGGAACCAAAGACCAUCUUUGAGAGCGGUGUGAAACUGGGGAAGCAACUGGAGGAAAUGGAAGAGGGCGCCCGGUGGCAGGUGAUGGCUGGUUUCUGGGCUGAGAUGCUGCUCUACCUCGCGCCAUCAGAUAAUGUCAAUGAGCACAUCGAGCAGCUCACGCAAGGCGGCGAGUUUAUCACCCAUCUGUGGGCUUUGCUCUCUCACGCGGGCAUCCUUGAGAGGGACGAGGAGCAUCAAGCUGGGGAGGCGUGUGACCAACACCGCGUGGAUAGUUUCGUUCCCACUGCUUCCUGUUUCUGUCAGUGUCUUGAAGGUGGAGCAAAGGACUCGAUGAAUCAGGCCUUUCCACAGAAGACUUUUGAGCUGGUUCUCAGUCGCAGGUACCACCCGUGGCAGCAGCUGAACACCUACCAAGAAGAGCACCUGGAAGAGGAGGGAGUACCAGAAACAACACCUGUUCGAUACAUCAGCUCAGCUCACAGAAGGCCGUUAAAUCCUGCGCCGUUUAUUGUAGCACAACACCCAAACUCAGAAGGUGUACUCUUCUCGUUCGACAACAUAUGGCGACACGAUCGCCACUUUUUCUGGAGACAAAAUCAGAGUUUCAGCCGGCCGCUGGUUGAGAGGCUCGUUCUGAGCGAGUAA
rnacentral:rRNA from 1 species